UCUGUUAAUGUCAUGCCUAAU
rnacentral:snRNA from 1 species